CUCCCAGAUCCCUCUCCCCCUUAAUAACUCCCUCCACGCACCCGGGCCCCAGUAACGCCUUCGCCGCCGCGAUCCCGGAUGUGAGGUGGCCGCGGCGGUGCCGGGCGGAAAAGAGAAACAUCGCCGUUAGCUCCCCGGGCGCCGGCUCGUGGAAGCGCAAGAUGGAGGGGAGAAAGAGACGGGGGGAUAGGGAGGUGGUGACAGGGUGGAGGAGGCCUGGGUCAGAGUGGCAUAAACCCUCCCAGAUGGACUUGCUGUCACCACCCUGGCACAUAAAUCCUGGAAUAAUUCUGUGAAAGCAGGAACGUUUAUAAUCAGGUCCUUUCUCUUCAGUGCUCAGAGCAUGAAAGUUUUCUGCUAUCUUUGGAACUUUGUCUGCAAACAGCUGCAAGGAGACCCGGCCUAAGGGCUUGCUGUGGACAGUGAUGUCGAAGGACACGAUGGGGCUGACCAUGGCUGGGUGUGGGAAGCUCUGGGGUUGUGGCAUCUGCAAGGUCCAUUUAUUUAUUCUUAGCUUUGGUUUUCUCAUCUGUAAAAUUGGGAAGAUGAUAACCCAUUCACAGGGCUGUUGUCAAGAUUACAUAGGAUAAGGUGGGUAAAGGCAUCAUACAACCUACAUGAAACCAUUUUAAAAAAGCCUAUACAGAGGCACAUUUUAGGUGAACAAACGAUGGUUGUUUUUAUUUUUUUAAAAACAAGCUCUUUUUGGAAUCCAGGUUUUUCCUAAUAUUGGCAAAAUGGCCUAAUCCCCUUGCCAUUAUGGAGUAGUGGAGAAGGCCUAUUUUUUGAAGCUUUUAAAUCCUGAUCCCUGCUACUUAGUAUGAAACCCAAGCUAGUCAUUUGACCUUUCUGGUCCUGUUUACUCAU